rnacentral:rRNA from 1 species
AUGGAAGGUCAGAAUGCAGGCUGGCGUUUGACAGGUUUCUAUGGAGAACCCUCUUGGGAUAAGAGGCAUUUAUCUUGGCAAUAUAUCCAUGAUCUUCACAAUUCGUCAUCUCUUCCAUGGUUGAUCGUUGGUGACUUCAAUGAAAUCUUACUAUGCGAUGAAAAGGAGGGGGGCAACGAUCGGCCGAGUAUUGUGAUGCAAAAUUUCAGAGAAUGCUUAGAUGAUUGUGGCCUUGUUGAUUUAGGGUAUGUGGGAGAUAAAUUCACAUGGAGAAGGGGAGAUAUAAGAGAACGACUUGAUCGGGUUGUAUGCAAUAAUGCAUGGAUGAACAAGUUCCCCUUCACAGCGGCUGUUAAUGAGAAGCAUGUACAUUCUUACCAUAGUCCAUAG